rnacentral:rRNA from 1 species
UACGUAGGUGGCAAGCGUUGUCCGGAAUUAUUGGGCGUAAAGGGAGCGCAGGCGGGAAGGUAAGUCGGUCUUAAAAGUGCGGGGCUCAACCCCGUGAUGGGGUCCGAACUGAGGUUCUUGAGUGCAGGAGAGGAAAGCGGAAUUCCCAGUGUAGCGGUGAAAUGCGUAGAUAUUGGGAAGAACACCAGUGGCGAAGGCGGCUUUCUGGACUGUAACUGACGCUGAGGCUCGAAAGCCAGGGUAGCGAAUGGG